rnacentral:tRNA from 1 species
UACAUUUUAGUGUAGGAUGCAUAUAAGUUUUUGAUAUUUAUGGGGAUAGUUUAAGUCUAUUAGGUGUAA